rnacentral:rRNA from 1 species
UACGAAGGGGGCUAGCGUUGUUCGGAAUUACUGGGCGUAAAGCGCGCGCAGGCGGCUCUUCAAGUCAGGGGUGAAAGCCCAGAGCUCAACUCUGGAACUGCCUUUGAGACUGAAGAGCUUGAGUACGGGAGAGGUGAGUGGAAUUCCCAGUGUAGAGGUGAAAUUCGUAGAUAUUGGGAAAAACACCGGUGGCGAAGGCGGCUCACUGGCCCGUUACUGACGCUCAGGCGCGACAGCGUGGGGAUCAAACAGG